AAUACAUGUCGCCGUUGACUUUUAGUCACACGUUUGACCAUUCGUCCUAUUUAAAAAAUUUAUGCAAAUAUUAUUUAUUUUGUUAUGAAUUGGUUUAUUACUAUAUAUAUUUUAAACAUGACUUGCAUUUUUGUAUAUUUGCAUAAAUUUUUUGAAUAAGACGAAUGGUCAAACAUGUGAUAAAAAGUCAACGGCGGCAUGUAUU
rfam:Leersia perrieri chromosome 12, whole genome shotgun sequence.